CUGAGGUCACAAUGGCAGAUUCCCAGUUCCCAGGAAUGGAAGGAGGGGAUGCUGCCCUGCAUCCUGCUCCAGGAAAUUUGGACCAAGUGCGUGUGCAUAGAUGCUCAUAGCCUGCCAUCCACCAAAGCUACUGGUUCAAGAUGUCUCAUCUUCCAGGUUAUUAUUGCUCUGCUCUGUUACCCAGCAUUUCUCCUCAUGAACAGACAAACACUUCACAAUCUCUUGUAAACUGAGACAUCAAGCUGUCAAAGUCCCACUGGAAGUAUUUGCCUUGCAUGCUGUUCCUCACUGCACUUAAUGUGCCCAAUUCAUACUAAAGGAGUUGAUAACAUUGAAAAUAAAACCCAAAGUUGAAGCA